AGACUUCACGCUGUUUUCCUUCUUCCCGGGGGCCGACCGGGGGUGUGGCGGGAGCGGGGGUGGGGUGGGUUGGGGGGCUUGGAGGAGACAAGGAACCAGGAAAAAAAAGCUACACCUGCAACCACUAGGGAUUGUGGGUCGAACGGAAGGACUAAGGAGAGCUGAACUCAGGUAUCGCAAGCCAACCGGAAUCAAAUGCGCAGCACAACCACAGGGCUUUUAAUGUCCACCUUCAGAGGACUGCUGGACAGUGGCAGAAGAGUUCGGGGCUGAAGUUUACCUUGUGCUCAGAGAAGGGGAAACGCGGCGAUUGCCGGGUCUGUUGCGUAAUGUCAUUUCUAACAUUCUUACCCACAACAAACACUUUUCGUGUCCCGAUGUGCAAAAAAUACCAAGUAGGUUACAGAUUUUCAAAGAGACGAGCAUCCCUUCAUGGGCCGGGCACGGGGGCAGUGGCGUAGUUUUUGGUGGGGUGAGGAGAUUUGGUUGAAGGGACACUAAAAUGGCCCUGGAGCACCUCUUCCAUGUCCACUCCGCAGCCCGGGAUCCCAGAGCUGCAAACACCCCUCGGUCCGUUCCCGCGGUCUUCUGACGUUUCCAGGCAGGCAUCAACAUUUGCAUUGUAAUUCAACAGAAGCAGCUACUACAAAGGUGCUUUAUCUUUCCAGCUUAAUACGGUUGCUACGGAAACGAUCCAGGAUGAAAUUGACUUUCUUUGUGGUUUUCUGUCACCUGGUUGGAAACAACGCGAAUCAGCAAAGAUGAUCAAACAAUCAAUUCCAUCCCCCCCCCAACAUCCCUCCAAGUCUUUUAUCCUUCUGUCCCAAUGGAGAUGGGAAUAACAAGGUAAACUUAUGAAAUUUUUCAUAAGUUUAUAAAAGGUGCUCUCUUAUCUUCUAGCAUCCAGUGUUGCUGUUGAGAAUUUCAGUGCUAUCCUUAUUUCAUCUUUUUAUGACCUGGAGUUUUUCUUUCUGAAAAGUUUUUAAAUAAUCCUUUGAUGUCUAAUAUUCUGAAAUAUCAUAAUUACGUGCUGGGUACUCAAUAGCAAAGUUUGCCUAAGUUCAAAUCAUGCCUCUAUUACAUGACCUUGACCAAGUCACUUAUUCUUGCUGUGCUCUACUUUCCUCGUGUAUAAUUAUAAUAUGCAUAAUGUGUCUAUAUAUAUUACAAGGGGGGAAAUAAUAAUUUCCUCAUUGAUAUAUCUUAGCCACUUAGAAUAGUGCCCAGAUGCAAAGCAAGGCCUCAGUUAUUGUCCACUCAUUUCAUUUUUGAAACUCUUAGUUGGAUAUCGAAUCCUCUGGAUUAAUCUUAGAAUUUUUGUCUUUCCUUUGGACAUCUCUUCAUGUUUUGUUCUAUACAGGGGAAUAGUUCCUUACUUUACUUUCUGCUGAAGUUUUUUUUAUCUCAGCUAUUCUAAGAGCUCUUUUCAUGUUUUAUGUUAAUUUUUUAAACAAUUCUAUGAUUAUGUCAUGGGUGCAAUAAUUUCUAUCUUUCGAGGACAGUUACUCUAGGGUUUUCUUCUGCUUUCUGCCUUCUCUCUGCUUCCUUUUUUCCCAUAUAUUUGUUUUAGUCUCAUCAUGUUAGAAGCUUUCUUCUUAGGAAAACCUCAGUUGGUUAGAAAGUCAUCCCUAUACACCAAGGUUGCAGGUUCAAUCCCUAGUCAGGGCACAUACAAGAAUCAACUGGUGAAUUCACGAAUAAGUGAAACAGCAGGUUGAUGUUUCUCUCUCUGCCCCUCUCUUUCUCUCUCUCAAGAAAAAAAAAAGAUUAAAAAAAAGAAAGAACAACAAAGUCCCAUCAGAGACUCCAUGUAUAGGGAAUGAGAGGGAGUGUGCUUGCUCACUGGUGGGUUUGAUGAAUGGUGAUCAGGUGAGAGCUGGUCCUUCCAUAGGAGGGGCCCCAAAUAUCAGAAUGAAAGGUCUUUUCUUUCGGGCCCUUCAGUUUUUCAGAAGAAAUACCUUCAUUCUCGUGCCUGAGGGAGUAUUCAUCUGGCUGCCAAUAUUCUGGAAACAGUUGAGAGAAAGGGGUCUGGAUGAGUCACUGCUUAGUAUGCAGUUUUCACAACAUCAUUUUCUUUGCGGUAGGCACGUUACUCCUGCCCUUAUUCCUGCAUGGGGCACAAGCCUCUCUCCUGUUUCUCCUGCGGGAGUUGUGAUCGCCCGGCUGCAAGGAGUGGAACAGGGGGCCUAAGGACCUGACAACUAAAUGCCCACAUUCACUCAGCACCCGGCCUCUCAUCUCUCCUUCACUGUAGGGACCCUGGGUCCUCUCAUCAGUACAGUGAUCUGAUGAUCUACGGCAUCUCCAAGACCCAGGUGACUCUGGGGAUUUACAGGAAGAAUUAUAAAUGAAUGGGAAAGUCCCUGCCACACCCAUCAUGACAGAGUACUUCUCUCUCUCCAAACACCUGUGUCCAUAAAUACUUGAGUACAGUAGUGGUCCCCAAAGUGUGGUUUCUGGAUGGACCGCCAACAUCAGAUCACCUGGGAACCUGUUAGAAAUGCAUGCUCAUCACCUUGCCCCAGACCUGAAGCAGCAACUCAAGGAGAUAGGCAGCAGUUUGUAUUUCUAACAAGCCCUCCAGCAGUGCUGAUAGGUUAGAGUUUGAAACAUACCUGAACGUUAUCCUAACAGGAAGAAGUAGUACACCCUUAGCCAUCAAAGGCAUUCAUCCUAAACUAUGCUGGAUCCAGAGUUUUCCAACCGUUUUCAAUAACCAUGAGGCAAUGAAAAAAGAAAUGUCUUUGGGUGAGCAUAAAAAAAAAGACAUGGAAGAACAAGAUAAAAACCAAAACGGGAUGUCUUAAGACUGAGAAAACAAGGGAGUCAACAGAAGAGAAAGUUCAAGGCAAGUCAGAACGAUGGCUUUGUAGCAGGCAGGCUUAGAGAGCAACUAAACUUUCAGCAGAGGUCCCUGGGUGGGGGUUGGGAAGUAGAACCCAACUAUUAAAGUUAACAUCUUGAAAAAUUAUAUCAAGAAAUCAUUUGAGGGCGUGGAAAGUAUUAGCAACAGGCACAGAGAAAAUUUCGCAAAUAUUUAGUAGUCAGUAACUCCAGAUGGGAAAUAAGUACAAGAAUGGCAAUAUAAGCAUAUUAAUUUUAGUACAUACUUGGUUCAACAGUGAAGAAUAGUCAUAUGAUGAUAAUAAUAAUAAUAAUAAUAAUAAUAGAAUUACUGAAUGGUAAUUUACUAAAAUUGGUGAUAAAACUUAGUUGGGAAGGUGGAAAGAGGAAGAUGGUAUUGUGCGGGCAUGGAGGAAAUAAACGGUGUGAAAGAGUUAAAUCAUCAACAGAAAGUCAAAAGUUGUAAAUCAAGAAUUAGCAACAUAAACAUCAGCUAGGGACGCUUUGGGCUGCUACCAGCAUCAAGGCUGAUUAGUGGCAUCUCUUGGC